GCCUGGCUAGCUCAGUCGGUAGAGCAUGAGACUUAUAAUCUCAGGGGCGGGGGUUCGAGCCCCCCGUUGGGCG
rfam:Daphnia pulex DAPPTscaffold_14406_Cont18797, whole genome shotgun sequence.